AGGAUUAACGCUGGCGGCGUGCCUAACACAUGCAAGUCGAACGAGGUAGCAAUACCUAGUGGCAGACGGGUGAGUAACGCGUGGUCAACCUACCGUUGAGUGGGGGAUAACUAGCCGAAAGGUUAGCUAAUACCGCAUACGUCUCCGAGGGGCAUCCCUUGGCGAUAAAAGGAGCAAUCCGCUCGAUGACGGGACCGCGUCCCAUUAGCUAGAUGGUGGGGUAACGCCUACCAUGGCACCGAUGGGUAGCUGGUUUGAGAGAGCGACCAGCCACACUGGGACUGAGAAACGGCCCAGACUCCUACGGGAGGCAGCAGUGAGGAAUUUUCCGCAAUGGGCGCAAGCCUGACGGAGCGACGCCGCGUGUGGGAAGAAGGCCUUCGGGUCGUAAACCACUGUCGAAGGGGACGAUAAUGACGGUACCCUUGGAGGAAGCCCCGGCUAACUACGUGCCAGCAGCCGC
rnacentral:rRNA from 1 species